ACGCUCGACACCUACAGGAGGCAGCAGUGGGGAAUAUUGCACAAUGGGGGAAACCCUGAUGCAGCGACGCCGCGUGAAGGAAGAAGGUUUUCGGAUUGUAAACUGCUUUAGACAGGGAAGAACAAAUGACAGUACCUGUAGAAUAAGCUCCGGCUAACUACGUGCAGCAGCCGCGGUAAUCUGAGCGGGCUGGCAAGGC
rnacentral:rRNA from 1 species